AUUGAACGCUGGCGGCAUGCUUUACACAUGCAAGUCGAGCGGCAGCGCGGGGGCAACCCUGGCGGCGAGCGGCGGACGGGUGAGUAAUGCAUCGGAACGUAUCCCGUAGUGGGGGACAACCCAGCGAAAGCUGGGCUAAUACCGCAUAUGCUCUACGGAGGAAAGUGGGGGACCCGCAAGGGCCUCACGCUAUGGGAGCGGCCGAUGUCCGAUUAGCUAGUUGGUGGGGUAAAGGCCUACCAAGGCGACGAUCGGUAGCUGGUCUGAGAGGAUGAUCAGCCACACUGGGACUGAGACACGGCCCAGACUCCUACGGGAGGCAGCAGUGGGGAAUUUUGGACAAUGGGGGCGAACCCUGAUCCAGCCAUGCCGCGUGCGGGAAGAAGGCCU
rnacentral:rRNA from 1 species